rnacentral:rRNA from 1 species
ACGUAGGGGGCAAGCGUUAUCCGGAAUUAUUGGGCGUAAAGAGUGCGUAGGUGGUUUUUUAAGCGUGAGGUGAAAGGCAAUAGCUUAACUAUUGUAAUCCUUGAGGACUGGAUGACUUGAGUUCAGGAGAGGAAAGUGGAAUUCCUAGUGUAGCGGUGAAAUGCGUAGAUAUCAGGAGGAACACCAGUGGCGAAGGCGGCUUUCUGGACUAUAACUGACGCUGAGGCGCGAAAGCGUGGGGAGCAAACAG